GUAGUUUGGUUGNGAGGUGUCGAUUUGGCAUUAUCGAACCUGAGAUCAGCAACGAGGGAG
rnacentral:rRNA from 1 species